rfam:Camelus ferus unplaced genomic scaffold scaffold1313, whole genome shotgun sequence.
GAGGGUAUAGCUAAGUGGUAGAGUAUAUGCUUAGCAUGCACAAGGUCCUGAGUUCAAUCCCCAGUACCUCCA